rnacentral:rRNA from 1 species
UACGUAGGUGGCAAGCGUUGUCCGGAUUUACUGGGCGUAAAGGGCGUGCAGGCGGUUCGUUAAGUUCAGGGUGAAAGCUCCCGGCUCAACUGGGAGAGGUCCUUGGAUACUGGCGGACUUGAGGGGAGUAGAGGAGAGUGGAAUUCCCGGUGUAGUGGUGAUAUGCGUAGAUAUCGGGAGGAACACCGGUGGCGAAGGCGGCUCUCUGGGCUCUACCUGACGCUGAGACGCGAAAGCGUGGGGAGCGAACCGG